CCACAGUCGAAUAGCGAGCCGAAGACAGCAGGGGCCAAGGGGCUUAAUGUCCUGCCGAGGUUUGAGCGGAGUGCUAAGGGAUCCCGUUGUGGACUGCUAGGUUACGCUUGUCUCAAUGCGUCUCGGCUAUGGCUGAGGCGCAUUCUCUUUGGCGGC
rfam:Synechococcus sp. JA-3-3Ab, complete genome.